rnacentral:misc_RNA from 1 species
GAUGGAGAACGUAGUGAAAUGCGAUAAGUAAUGUGAAUUGCAGAAUUCAGUGAAUCAUCGAAUCUUUGAACGCACCUUGCGCCCUUUGGCCAUUCCGAAGGGCAUGCCUGUUUGAGUAUCAUGAACACCUCAACUCUUCAUGGUUUUCCAUGAUGAGCUUGGACUUUGGGGGUCUUGCUGGCCUGUGGGUCGGCUCCUCUCAAAUGAAUCAGCUUGCCGGUUUUUGGUGGGCAUCACAGGUGUGAUAACUAUCUACGCUUGUGGUUUUCCACCAGGGUAACCUUCAGCAGUGGAGGUUCACUGGAGCUUACAAAUGUCUCUCCUCUGUGAGGACAGCCCUUUGAAUGUUUGAUCUCAAAUCAGGUAGGACUACCCGCUGAACUUAAGCAUAUCAAUAAGCGGAGGA